ACACGCUCUCGCCGGUACGUAACGAGUGGCGCACAACCCCAUCGCUUUCGCAGUAGGAUGGCUUCGUACUGCGAGGUGUGUCAAGGCCUUUACGACAUUCCUCACCCACACUUGCGACUGCAGCGCUCGCCAUUGUCGCCGCCACCGUGGAAGCGCGGUAUCUGGAACCCAGUUUGCUCACCAUCAUCGCCACCCAAGCGGGGAGGAAGCGGGGGAGGCCGCGGUAGCCGCGGCAUGUCGUGGCCUCGCGUCGCGAGCCGCCACUGCGAAACCCCACACGGGCUGCCCUCGCCUUUCCUGGAGGCGCGGAGCAGCGGUCACGACUGCGUUAGCCCUUACGUGUGCCCCUGCGAGCAGCGGCGAAGCGCCUCCAUGCCAGCAGUGCCCAACUCCUACGCCGCCUCGGCCUCACAUGCGGCUUCACAUUCCUCCCCUUCUCUCGGACGGCGCGUGUCACCGGGCGCGGAUGGCGGCGCGGGGUGCGGCGACGAACAGGAAGACCACCAUCGCUGCACGACAUCCUUUCCACUCCCGAUGUCUGCCUUCGCAGCCGCUGGGCGGAGAGGUUUUCCCUUCAUAGAGCGAUACUGCGAAGACACGUACUGUAGUCAGCGCCGCGCAGACGGCAACCCGCCCCAACUGGAUUACCUGCGCCGUGGGGCCGGGCAUGUGUGCACGUAUGUGUCUCCUUACGAUGACUGCGAAGGCGAUGGAGAACGGAUCAGGCUGACGCCCGACGGCGGCGACACGGCUUUUCCGUCUUCCUCGUUCUCGCCCUGCGCGCCGGUGGAUGCGCGGGAGGCGGCCGGGCGCCACCAUCGCUGCGCCAGCGCGGGGAGACCGCUGCACGUGCGCUGCGCGUCAUCUCCUUUCCCCUGCGACGACCUGGGGCGCGGUGGCGAGCUCGGUAGCCGCAUACCACACCACUCGUCCUCGCCGCGUAGCCUUGAGGAUGCGACUCGCUACGCCUCCGAACGCGACGCACGGCCGCGAUCGAGUCGUAACACCAGCGCUGAUCACCCUUCCCGGCGAAUAUCCCCGGCAGUCGAUGGAGGUGGUUGUCGCGGUACGCACAUGCCGUCGGCGCACAACGGCACAGGCUCUGGCGAACCGUCUUCCUCGCAGCGACCGCCGCUGCUGCCGUCGGUGGCAUCGAUGACGCCGGCGUCUUCUUUUGCGGGCCUCAUCCUCGACGCUGAACAACGUGCUCAGCCAUCUGCCAGUUUUGAGGCACCGCUGCACUUCACCAGACACGGUGAUUCGGCGCGGCAGCCUGCGGUCUCGGAUGGUCCACUGCCGUCUCGCGCUAGUGACUCUCUGGCGAACCUCGUCGCCAAGAUACGAGCGGAAGUCAGCAAAGACGUGACUUCGUGGGCCACAAGAGCGCCCAGCAGCGAUCCACUUCUGAACCCCGCGGAUGCGAAGCCUCGGACAACUGCAGAGGGUAAGAGACAAAAACACCGCCGUGCGGAGAAGCCGCAGGCGCAGGGCUACGCUCCAGUUACGACGUCGCACGCGGAGCAGACCUCCGCCACUCAGGCUACAGCGUCGUCGCUCCUGUCUUCGUCCGACGUGUCGACAGGUGCAGAGGGGACCGCCGCUUUUCAUGCGCUGGCCGCUCGACGGUCAUCCAGCGCAGGCGACAAUAGCGGCUCGCAUGCUUACCGGCCUUCCGCUGCUCCUCCAGCGGCCAGUGGUCAGGCUCGCAGCGCGCGGUCGCAUCGACGGCGCAGCAGCACUGCAGAAUACCGUCACCCGUCCCGGCCGCGGCACUCUUCGUCGUCAUCCCUGUCGGCGGGUUCGACCCGGUCAUCGUCCUCUUCGGUGCAUCUCCGCUACACUGUGAGGAGGGCCGAGGCAGUCCUAGGCCGACUGAGGGACAGAUCAGGCGGCAAUGGCGGCAGUCGCGCACUAUCGCCCGCUGUGAAGAAGACGAGGGAAUUCGUGGGCAACUUGCUGGCUGAUGACGCCGCUGCUGCUGGUGCAGCAAACGCCCAUGGUCGACGGAAUACCUCGGCGCACUCUUCCGCACACGGAAAGGACUGCACAAGGUUGCAGAGUGGCAGGGGACGUCGCCGCCACUCGGCCCCUCCUCUGCCCUCUCGACCUCAUGCGACACGUGCGCCAUCCCGCCGAUCUUCUCUUCCAGCUCCCACAGAUACGUUCUCGACGGAGAGCCCAGGUGCACCCCAGCGAGUGCAUCCACCUGAUCGGGCUGCAAGGGAGGCGACAAGAGACGUGGGACAGAAGAGAGAUGAUGCGCCGGCGGCUACGGAAACGGUGGCUGAGUUACGUCGGCAGCAUGAGAUGUGGCGCACCACACAGGAGCACCGGAUCGAGCGGCUACGCGAGGGUCUGUCGGCGCUAUGCGCGGCCGUCCGAAAAGACCUUCAGAAGGUGCGCGAGGAGGUGGGUCGGGUGCGUGCCGAGGCCAUUGGUACGGCGGAAGACGCUCAAAAACGAAUGCGUGAGGCAUUGGCGACCGCAUUCCGGUCCAACUCGCCCGAUGAACGUGUGACUCACGCAAAAAGACGGGAGGUGGACUUCGACCCGAAUUCCGUCGUGGCGGCCGUGACACAGUGCACGCCGGCGGAGCAGCGCCGUCUCGCCAUGCUGCUUUUGCCUCACUUUCGACCGCUACUCGCGGAGAUGGUCCAGGGUGAGGUGCAGUGCCAGCUCCGCCAGCACCGCGACGAGCAGCAAGAGGCGCAGCACAGACUUGAGCAGCGCUUGCACACGUACGUUGGGGAAGCGGUGGUGUCCCAUCAGCGCCGUACACACGCAGACGAGACCUUAGGCAGUGAAGGCAUCGCCACCGCCCCCUUGUGGGCAACCUUCUCUUCUGCGGACGCCUUCGACGCACACCUCCGCGCUGCAACUCGCGCGGUGCUGCUCGAGGAGGACGACCGACGGUAUGGCCUGGCGAAUGAGAACGAGCGCCGGCAUGAGCGGCGCGUGCAGAAGCUGAAGCAGGGCUGGCAAGAGACGCUGAAAACCGCACAAGCGGAGUGGAAGGCUGAGUGGAAGGCCAUUUUGGAGAAGGAGGCAAAUGCGUGGACAUGCUGUGUCCGGGCACCGCUGCAGCAGCAGGCCGACAUGCUUCAGGACAUUGUAAAGGCCCUCACACGCGACGUGACAAACCUGCAGGAGCAGCAGGAGGCGCUCUCCGCGCGCCUCUCGACCAGUCUGCGACAUGAGCGGGAAGUGCGAGUGCAGGAGCAGACGCAGCUCACCGAGCGUGUUGAGCAGCAUCUGCGACAACUGCUACCGCGUGAGGUCGAGUCGGCCUGCGUGCGAUUCCAUGCGUUGCGAGAGCAACGGCUCGCAGCUGCAGCUUCACGAGGCACUUUUACCGAACUGACCACUCCCGGGGCAUCGCGCCGGAGUGCGACACCCACGAUCAGCGCUGCCGCUGCGGCCGCUGCGCCAUCAUCCGCAGAGGAGCUUCGCUUGUCCAUCGUGCAACCGGCCAUGGAGCACAUGCGGCGUCUGCUCGUGCUGCACCAAGAGAUGAUCGACGCGAUGGUUGAGGCUCGUUGCCGUCGCGCUGAGCACACGGUGGAGGGGAAUCGGCACGUGUGGUCGCAGAACGUGGCGGAGCUGCGGUCCAAGCUCUCGGCGCUGCGCGCCGACGUGCGUGGUGCCUUGGGCGAGUUGUGCGAGAACAUCAACGUGGCCUCUCCAGCCCUGUGAGAUCAUAUGUAACAACGGCAGUGCGCGUGGCGCAUGCACGCAUGUGUGCUUGUGUGCGCACGCAGGCUUUACCUUUCAUAGAAUUACGAGCGGGAGGCAAAGGAGACAGCAGAGGUGGACGCUGACGGAGGAAGAGGGUGGGCAGCGGUUUGGUGAGUGGAUCGGCCACGGAGGCGCUUGGAGGAGGCGUUGUGUGUGUGGCUGAGGUAAUCACAACGCGCCUGAGAGAGAGGCGCGAGAGAGACGCGUCUAUCCUGGCCGGUGGGGUGGAGGAGGAGCGAGCGACGUGCAAAGGUCAGUUCAGGGCCGCGGUACAGGCGACAGGUGAUCAUGCCCUCGUUGUCUCCCCACCCUCUGCUGCCGUUCAUGUCCACACAGCCUUCAUGCCCCUCUCCCGCUCUCUUUCACAGCAACGCCCACUUCUCAUUCUAUGGCGCUCUGUCAUUGUGCACACGACUGGCCUCUCGUCUCCGUCUGCCGCCCCUGCAUCCUCUUCUCCCAGCCUUCCCCCCUCUCGGGCUCCCUCUCUCACGAUUGUGGAUCCCUGUACGCACUCCCUCAUCAUAG
rnacentral:misc_RNA from 1 species